CUUUGGUGUGCUUCCGAGGAGUAGAGAAAGGGGCGAAUGGAAAAAGGAAAAUCAGAAUAUUUAAGCUGAGUUCUUUUGUUUGUUUGUUUGGUCUCUCCCUUCCAUUGUCCCCUUAAAUCCCCAGGACAGUUUUGAGUUCUCAUUCUACAAACAGAACGGUAAGGAGCCCACCUGGCCCCCCAGCAGGCUGGCUGUGGGCCUGAGCCAAGCUGUGUGCAGAUCUGAACACAGAUCACAGACUGGAAGAGCGCCAUCCCACCGCGGGUUCGUUAGAGAGAUUUGUGCUGACCCACACUCCCCUGACUUUAAGAAGCCAAAUCUUCAAGUGGAGUGAGAGUCUUAGACUGGCCUUAAAAGCCGGUUUUGCCAUCAAGCUCUAUUGAUCCAUAGAUUCCUCCAGGACUCGCUGAUACCCUUCAGCGCCUGGAAUCCGGGUCGCAGCACACCCCUUGUCUCGACCCCCUCCUGGCCCCUGCCAUGGGAGGAAGCCAGCAGGAAGGACGCAGGGCGUUCUAGAGAGCAGAAAACAAACCUAGCAACUCAAGUAAUGAGUAACUUUCUCACUGCCAGACAUAAGUGGUGGCGCUGGAAAGCAAACGUGAUUGUGUCCAAGUUGAGAACCGUGAUUAACCUCAGCCUGAGCAGUGUCUUCCCUAAAAAGGAGCUUCCAGGUUCGGUUGUUGAUUAACCACUGAAAACUGAGAUUAUUCUAGAAAAUCACCGCCUCCCUGCCACCGAGCCCACGCAGCACUGGCUGAAGUAUAAGGGGUUAUUACUGUUGCCAUUUUUCCAGCCCCCAAGGGCCAGGUCUUAGGAGCAGCGGGAAUCCUUCGGACCGUGAGCUGAUUCUUUUUUAGCACACGCAAUAAAAACUGACCAAACCA